rnacentral:rRNA from 1 species
UACAGAGGGUGCGAGCGUUAAUCGGAAUUACUGGGCGUAAAGCGCGCGUAGGCGGCUUUGCAAGUCGGGUGUGAAAUCCCCAGGCUUAACCUGGGAACUGCAUUCGAGACUGCAUUGCUAGAGUAUGGGAGAGGGAAGUGGAAUUUCCGGUGUAGCGGUGAAAUUCGUAGAUAUUAGGAAGAACACCAGUGGCGAAGGCGGCUCACUGGUCCGGGUACUGACGCUGAGGUGCGAAAGCGUGGGGAGCAAACAGGG